AUUUCACUCUUUCUUCAUUCCUAACACAUGCAAGUCGAACGAGUGGCGGACGGGUGAGUAAUGUCUGGGAAACUGCCCGAUGGAGGGGGAUAACUACUGGAAACGGUAGCUAAUACCGCAUACCAUCGGAUGUGCCCAGAUGGGAUUAGCUAGGAGGUGGGGUAACGGCUCACCUAGGCGACGAUCCCUAGCUGGUCUGAGAGGAUGACCAGCCACACUGGAACUGAGACACGGUCCAGACUCCUAGGGGAGGCAGCAGUGGGGAAUAUUGCACAAUGGGCGCAAUCCUGAGGCAGCCAUGCCGCUUGUAUGAAGAAGGCCGUCGGGUUGUAAAGUACUUUCAGCGAGUAGGCGUUACUCGCAGAAGAAGCACCGGCUAACUCCGUGCCAGCAGCCGCGGUAAUAC
rnacentral:rRNA from 1 species